UGCUCAAUGAUAAUUUAUAUAGCCGCAAUACGUGCUAAGGUAGCAUAAUCAUUAGUCUUUUAAUUAAAGACCAGUACAAAAGAUUAAACAUUUUAAUUAUUCUCAAAAAUUAAUAUAUUUAACUUUUUUUAAAUAUAAUAAAAUAUUUAUAAAAAAGAAAGACGACAAGACCCUUUUAAACUUUACUUUAGUUUAACUGGGGCAGUUAAUUAAUUAUAACUUUAAUUAUACUAUUUUUCAAAUUUGACCCAUUUUAAAUGAUUACUUGAUCAAGUUACUAUAGGGAUAACAGCGUAAUAUUAUUAUAAUAUAAUAUCUAAUAAUUCUUUGCGACCUCGAUGUUGACUAAUAUUCUCUCAUACAUAAAAGUUAGAAAAGAAAGUCUGUUCGACUUUUCAUUAAUUACA
rnacentral:rRNA from 1 species